GGGGAAUUAGCUCAAGUGGUAGACUGCUCGCUUUGAAUGUGAGAGGUAGUGGGGUCGAUGCCCACAUUCUCCA
rnacentral:tRNA from 1 species